CUCGUCGAGGGGCGCUGCGACCGGUACGGCAGAUUCAUCUGCCACCUGCACGAAAAGUGCGGGCAACAACGGCCAGGCUCGACAGGGAUUUUUCGUGAAACGGCGCCCGGAAUUG
rnacentral:ncRNA from 2 species